rfam:Schistosoma curassoni strain Dakar, Senegal genome assembly, scaffold: SCTD_scaffold0006759
AUUCAACUGACGAGUCCCAAAUAAGGCGAAGUACUCUUCUUGGAU